CUUCCCUUACCAAAAUGACUUUAAGUGACUUAUAUGUUUCUUAUAUGCAACUUAUACUUGACCUAUAAGAGAACUAUAAGUUACAUAUAAGUCACUUAUAAAUCACCUAAAAACCUGUCUAAGUCAGUUAUAGGUAUAUGCUACAUAUAAGUCACUUUUGGCCAUUUUUUUUCCCCAACAUAUUAGUCACAUACAAGUCACCUAUAAGUGCCUUAUACUGGUGAAGUUUGAAGUAACCAGUUUCUAUGUUAGAUAUAAGUGAAAACUUAGAACUUUUGCGAGACUGAGCAAAGCUGAAAAAAUUACUAAGUACAAAAACAUGAGAAAAAUUGAUAAAAUUUAUUGAAGUUGAUUUGUAAUUCUUUGCUUUAACACAAUGGGUAUCAAAAUACUCAGAAUUUAAAAUACUAUAAUCUUAGACCUUAAUCACAAACAAUUAAGAUUUUUUUUUAAAUGUUGCUUAUUAAUUUUUGAACACAGCUGGGGGUUUUUAAAUAAGAUAAUAGGAAAAAUGAUUAUCAAUUAAGUAUAUUACCUGUAAAAAAUGUUGGUACAUAUUCUGUGCGGAAUUGGGACAGAAAUGGCAUUCAAUCAGUGAUUUCUAGGCUACCAUGGACAGAAAUGAAAUUCCAUGUCAUUUCUUCUCACAAGGAAAAUAUUUCAUAUAAAAGUCACCCAAGGCACAAUUCUACUCUUUUUUUUCUAACUUGAAACAGACAUUGAAAUCUAUAUGUUUUUACCUACUGUACUUCUUACAGACCUAAUUUCGCUGAAGUAAGAUAUUCUAACAAGAAAAAGAGGUGUAUUUUUUUAGAUAUACAAGUGUUAUUUUUAAGACAUUUAGGCCUAGUGUAUUUUAGAUAUUUAAACAAUAAAAAAAACAGUGCUUGAAAUAAACAGUUUAUAUUGCCCUUUUAAUCUAUAUAAAAUCAAGGAACCAAUAUGCCUGAAGAUUGCUUAUAUAUUCUACAUCCACUGAUACACCACAUAGAUCAAAGGUCUGAUAAAACUGGCCACCUGCCUUUGCCACCAUAUGUGCAUGACUAAUUUUUUGACUGGUCUUUCCUACAAAUCAGACUGUUCCAUGUGAUUAUUUUGGGGAAAGAUAACAUUUCCUAUCCUGAAUUUGUAAAAAAGGACAUUGCAUUUUCUUUUUCAAAAAUGUAUAAUGAUUUUUAAACUUUACAUAUCUAUUAGUUAUUUGAUUUUUUUUACAUUCAAUGAUUGUAAGAUAGAACUGAUGAGUGCUUUGAUUUUUGGAUUUACCCUGUUUUACAUAACAUUGGAUCUGCCCAGGUACACAGUUGUAAGUCUGAAACAUUUAGGUUAGCAAGCUGGUGGAAAUCACAGAGAAUCUACUUAAUGUUUUAGGAAUUUUAGAGAUAUUGUUUUGUUUAAGAUGUUUAAGUAUAGUUAUGGUAAAUAAGAAUGACAAGGAGAAUCACCUUGGACAAGAAGAUAUACAACAAAAUCAGGCUAGUGGGACCAGUUCUUACUUUGAGAUGCCAGGUGAAUAAUGAUAUGCAGUAUUGAGCCUGAAAAGGUGAACACAGCCACAGGAAGUUCUCCGAGGAAACAGAAUCAGAGCACUGAAACAGACAUCAAUAAAAGAAAUAGUAGUUUAAAAAAAUAAUUAUGAUUUGAACAGUUCCUCACCGACAGACUUCCAGCAAAAUAAUUAUAUAAAUAAAGUGUUUGAUUCCAAGAAAACCAGUAAAAAACAAAAACUUGCUGUUACAAUGAAAUAUUGU